GCGCACCAGGCGCGAAACCUCCGCAAUGCGGGAAACCGCGACGGGGGACCCCGAGUGCCGUGGCAACGCCACGGCUUUUCCGGAGUGUAAAAAGCUCCGGGAAUAAGGGCUGGGCAAGGCCGGUGGCAGCCGCCGCGGUAACACCGGCAGCCCAAGUGGUAGCCACGUUUAUUGGGUCUAAAGCGUCCGUAGCCGGCUGGGUAAGUUCCUUGGGAAAUUUGGCUGCUUAACAGUCAAGCUUUCAGGGAAUACUGCCCGGCUUGGGACCGGGAGAGGUCAGAGGUACUCCAGGGGUAGGGGUGAAAUCCAUUAAUCCUUGGGGGACCACCGGUAGCGAAGGCGUCUGACCAGACCGGGUCCGACGGUGAGGGACGAAGGCUAGGGGCGCGAACCGGAUUAGAUACCCCCGUAGU
rnacentral:rRNA from 1 species